rnacentral:tRNA from 1 species
GUGAGAUGGCUCAGUGGGUAAGAGCACCCGACUGCUCUUCUGAAGGUCCAGAGUUCAAAUCCCAGCAACCACA